AAAUGAAAAGACUAGUUUAUUUUUUAAAAUAUUAGAUUGUAAAUCUAAAGAAUUUUUUCUUUUG
rnacentral:tRNA from 1 species